CUUCCCUAGAAUUCCUCCCGCCGCCGCCACCUGGUCGCUCCCCUCGGGAUCCCCUCCCUCGAUCCCGCUACCUCCUAGCAAAAUUCCUCGAUCCAGAUCCACCAACCACCGAUCCAUCCAUCUGGGACCGCCGGAUAGAGAUCCGACGGCCACCAGGCGGCCCGCAGCCGAGCCUCUUACUCCCUCCUCGAUCCAGAUCGAGAGGAGCUCGCCCGAGCUGCACCUCCAGGACCCCGCGCCACGGAGGAGCCGCCUCGUCGCCGGAAACCAGCGCCCCUCCACCUCGUCUCGCGGCCUCCUCUGCUUCACUUCGAGAACCCCAGCGUGAGCCGCAGCCAUCUCCCUCGCGUCCUCCCUCCUCGCCGGCGUUCUGCUCGAGGACCAGCCCCGCGCACCCCUGUGCUCACGAGCAGCAAACCCCGAGGACGCCAGCCGCCUCCCGCAACCCUGCGUCGCCUCCUCCCUGUCUUGCCUCGCCGGUGACUGCUGCUACCUCCGGAAACGCAAUGGAUGGCCUCCCGUAGCUCCAACUCCGGCCACCUCGUCUCCGCGGUGACCUGACGCCUCGGGUUCCGUCCGACCGCCGGCGUCCCAUCCUCACCUCUGCUUCGAACUCACGCGUGUGCCUGCCUCCCUCGCCUCGCAAGCCUCGUCGCGGGUCAACCGCAUCGGCCGUCUUGGGCUCCCUCACGGAGCACCACCACCGCAUCUCCGGCCAGAUCCGUCGAGUCCCGGCCAUCUCCGCCGUUCUUGGUCCUCCCCGCCACCCAAGUCCCUCGCCGGAGAGCACCACGCCGCCGCUGACUCUGCUUCACCUGAACCGGGGGUCCUCUUUCUGCUUCGCCCCGCGCCAAGAUCCGCUUCCAUUGACUGCCUCCUCGCUCGAUCUGGUCGAGUCGUCAACCACCACACAGCAGGCCCAGCGGGUCUCCAGGCCCAACUCCCGCCCCAAGCCUGCCAGCCUCUGCAGGCCAAAGGCCUCAAGGGCCCGAUGUGAGCAGCUCCCGCAGCCCUCCAGUUUUGGCCCGAUAUGUUUUUUCCUGUUGCUGCGAAUUUAGCUAAUUUCCAGAGUUUAUGGUUUUUCAGAAAAGUCCUUCAUGUUCAUGCAUUAACAACUCUUGAACCGUGCAUCGGUUUUAAACAAAUUAUAUAUGUAAAAUGCUUAGAAUUUCAUCUAGUUUCUUAAUAUGACACUUUCAUCUAUAUUUAAAAUGUUUAAAUUGCCGUUUGUAUUUAAUUUGCAUAAAUGCCAUGUUAAAAUGUUUUAUUUCAUAACUAAAUAACUGUAGC
rnacentral:rRNA from 1 species